rnacentral:misc_RNA from 1 species
UCCUGGUUGGCCCAGGCGGUCUCGUGUGAAAAAUACAACACACGACAAGGGUUGCGCUCGUUGCGGGACUUAACCCAACAUCUCACGACACGAGCUGACGACGGCCAUGCAGCACCUGUCACCGGGUUCCCGAAGGCACAGCAGCCUUUCGGCCGCUUUCCCGGGAUGUCAAGCCUCGGUAAGGUUCUUCGCGUAGCUUCGGAUUAAACCACAUGAUCCACUGCUUGUGCGGGUCCCCGUCAAUUCCUUUGAGUUUUAAGCUUGCGCUCGUACUCCCCAGGCGGCACACUUAUCGCGUUAGCUUCGCAACACAGAGGGUCGAUACUCCAUAUUGCUAGUGUGCAUCGUUUACGGCGUGGACUAC